rnacentral:rRNA from 1 species
GCAAGUCGAGGGGCAGCGGGAUUGAAGCUUGCUUCAAUUGCCGGCGACCGGCGCACGGGUGAGUAACACGUAUCCAACCUUCCGUUUACUCGGGGAUAGCCUUUCGAAAGAAAGAUUAAUACCCGAUAGUAUGGUGAGAUUGCAUGAUAACACCAUUAAAGAUUUAUUGGUAAACGAUGGGGAUGCGUUCCAUUAGGUAGUAGGCGGGGUAACGGCCCACCUAGCCUGCGAUGGAUAGGGGUUCUGAGAGGAAGGUCCCCCACAUUGGAACUGAGACACGGUCCAAACUCCUACGGGAGGCAGCAGUGAGGAAUAUUGGUCAAUGGGCGAGAGCCUGAACCAGCCAAGUAGCGUGAAGGAUGAAGGUCCUACGGAUUGUAAACUUCUUUUANAAGGGAAUAAACGCUCCACGUGUGGAGCCUUGUAUGUACCUUAUGAAUAAGCAUCGGCUAACUCCGUGCCAGCAGCCGCGGUAAUACGGAGGAUGCCGAGCGUUAUCCGG